rnacentral:piRNA from 1 species
UGAAAAAGUGAAUUGGGUUAGCAGAGAGA